GAUGAACGCUGGCGGCGUGCCUAAUACAUGCAAGUCGAGCGAAUGGAUUAAGAGCUUGCUCUUAUGAAGUUAGCGGCGGACGGGUGAGUAACACGUGGGUAACCUGCCCAUAAGACUGGGAUAACUCCGGGAAACCGGGGCUAAUACCGGAUAACAUUUUGAACCGCAUGGUUCGAAAUUGAAAGGCGGCUUCGGCUGUCACUUAUGGACGGACCCGCGUCGCAUUAGCUAGUUGGUGAGGUAACGGCUCACCAAGGCAACGAUGCGUAGCCGACCUGAGAGGGUGAUCGGCAACACUGGGACUGAGACACGGCCAAGACUCCUACGGGAGGCAGCAGUAGGGAAUCUUCCGAAAUGGACGAAAGUCUGACGGAGCAACGCCGCGUGAGUGAUGAAGGCUUUCGGGUCGUAAAACUCUGUUGUUAGGGAAGAACAAGUGCUAGUUGAAUAAGCUGGCACCUUGACGGUACCUAACCAGAAAGCCACGGCUAACUACGUGCCAGCCGCCGCAGUAA
rnacentral:rRNA from 1 species